CUGGUUCUUAUUACAAGCUGGACAGUGUGUGAGCGCUUGAUACAUGCUUUAUACCCAGAAGAGGCGUGGGAUGAAGCCAAGGCUGGGAAACUUUCCCCGUGGCAGUGGGGAUGCGGAGGAGGUUUCUGGUGGAGCAGCAGUUGAUGGUCCGCACACCCAGCAGCUCCGGUGCUCCCGACCAGCGGCUGGGCGACGGCCAAGGGAAAGCUCUGGCCAUCCGGCGGCUGUUGGGGUGUCUAACGUGACAAGGGAACAUCACAGGGAAAUGUGGAAGGCAGACGGUCGAGUUAGUCCCGAAUCUGAAUUCAGGUUCACAGCCACGUGCUUUGCAACCGGUAAAGAUGAAGAUCUUAAUUUUGGCAUUUCCUGUGCAUUCUGCAGCCAGAACACAGCCCGCGUCUGCUCUGUGUAAGAGCCUUGGGAACGCUGGUGUGCCGGGUGUGUAUUUUUAGGUCACUUCCAGAGAAGUGGAUUCGCUUCGAUGGAACCAGCCCACCGCCUCGGCACUCAGCCGUGUUGUGGUGAGGAUGAAGGACAGUUUCCACCUCACAUCGUCUCGCUGUCGCAGGUUUUGACUUUGCUCACACGCCUGCUGCUGCUUGAUCUAUCUUCACUGACGUUCAGACUCUGACCCUGCCAAGAUCGUUAUCACACCAUCUCUGGAUUUCAGUGGCCAAACGCUCAAAAGCCGGGGCCCCCAGCAAGGGCUUCCUCUGCCUAACACAAAAUAAAGACCAACCUCUGCUGAACUGACUCAUCCCGCUGUAAUCCCUCUCUUCAGGAGGUCUCUCUGCCUUCCUGGAACCGCCUGGUUCAUUAGGAAUCGGGCUUUUGAAUGUGUUAGAACUGUAGACCUCCUAUUCCCACAGGCAAGUGGGGGAGUGGCAGAAUGGAUGUGCAUAUUGUGUCUUAAUAAUCUGGUCUUCUGGGGUUGUCAGACUGUUUGAAGGAGGUUUGAAACGGGGACCAGUUUUAUCUCACACCAGGCAUUGGGUCCUCACUUAACUAACUGUGCAACUCCAUAUAGAUUUCUCAACCUAAAAUAUAGUACUAUACAGUAAUCGGAUAUUAUUUAGAAAGUAUUCGGUAAGUAACAUCUGCUGCCCUGAAAAUUUAAUUAAGGGUGUUAAAUAGGAGUUUAAAGAAGACAGGUUUGGGGGAAAAAAAAUCUUUGAAGGUACCUAUUUUAGCUCAGAUUUCAAAUUUAAAUUUCCUCAAAGAUGUUGGCAGGAUUCAUUUCUCCUUUGUACAUGUAACAUAUUUGUUCAUAUAUGCCAUUAUACAUCGCCUUUCAGGCUGAAUAUUAUACUGGAAUACAGCAAAAGCCAAAUUUAAGAUAUGAAACUGGAGGAGACCAUAUUUCAUACUGCAUAAAAUGCACCUCUGGAAUUUUCAGUUCUUCUUUUCUGCAGUAUUACAAAUGCCUUUAUAAAGUAUCAUGGCUGAUGAGCUUAAAAAAAAAAAAAACACCACCUGUGGCUUUGGAUAUAUUCACUUCAAGUUUGUGGUUAAUAUUUCCCAGCCUGCUUAGAGGUGAGUGUAAGUUCAGUCAUCGCACCAGUCUCUGCUGGUGUUUCUAAAUGACUCUGAUAAAAGAUUGUGAAAAAUGGACCUGUGGUAAGUUGCAUCAUCCUUGUUAUGCAUUUUAAGAUGGGGACACAAGCCAAGCUGAGUGUCUGGGUCACGCUCAGCCUUCCCUUGCACUCAUUCUCCAUCCCUGCAGCAGCCACCGGUGCAGUUCAGCCGGCGCAGCCCACGGUGGGUGCAAACCCACUGCGUUCUGCUGUGAAUUAAUUGCAUAACCGUGCAUCCCUAGCCAUGCUGCUUUCCUCCUUUGCACUAGAAAUUUUGCAUUAGCUAAUGGUCAUGAAGACACCAGAUUUCUCUUUGAUGGAAGAUAAAACGCUGCUCUGGGUGGAAGUGCCCAGCCACUGUGUGCAGGACCCCCAUCAGCUACAAGUGUUGAAGUGGUGUGAGACCGGUCUGAACCGAGAAAUCCUGGAACAGCACUUCACUUUCUCACUGCCUGUGUCCUGAACUGUGCGACCGCUCUUUAAACCCCUUUCUUUCCAAAAUACAAAGAGCUUUUUCCUUCUCAAUCUUUGAGAGGUUUUACUUUAACCUCAUUAAACUUCAUUGCCAAAAUCCAAAGCAGAUUGAGAUGAAGCAGCUGAUACGUGAGAAUACGAGUUACAAAUUGGUGCUGAAGAAACGCUUGCAAUAAGACAGCCUCUCCAUACGCAUCUUUAACCAACGUACAUCACCGUGAGGUACAAUAGGAAGAAGCGGGGAGUGCCUGGUUCGGCAGAGUUACAUUAGAAAUUAAACCAAGCCCAGUCUCUCUGUGUACAGCCAGGGCUGUUGUCUGCUGGCUCGUUGCAUGUGGUUGGUUUUUGUGGUGCUGGGAUAUAUUUAUGUGUUUUAUCUGUAUGUCAAUAUAAGAAAGCAGAGACAU